rnacentral:tRNA from 1 species
GCCCAUAUAGCUCAGUCGGUAGAGCGCAUCCUUGGUAAGGAUGAGGUCACCAGUUCAAAUCCGGUUAUGGGCU